rnacentral:tRNA from 1 species
GGAGAGUUGCCCGAGCGGCUGAAGGGGCUCCCCUGCUAAGGGAGUAUAGGGUUUAUAGCUCUAUCGAGGGUUCGAAUCCCUCACUCUCCGCCA